CAGAGGAGGAUUGAAUGCAGUGCAAAUAUUGCAAAUUGGAAAGCUCCAAUCAAGAGAUAUCUGAAAAAUGUCAUGGCAUCACCAGCAAAGACCUCCUGAAGACUUUCAAUGAGUGCCUUGAGAAUUAUGUGGCUCGCCUGCUCAGACUGUACCGGGCUAGAAAGGAAGCUAUUGGUCAGCAAAUAGAAGACUUCCUGGAUAAGCUUGAUGAACAAACAUCAGACAUUGUGUCUCACCGAAAGAUGACAGCACUGAGAUGCCUCCCCGUUUUUGUCUGGGACGACACAACUAAGUGUGGAGAGACGCAGCCGACGGGCCGACAGCGGGCGGACAGAGGCGUUCUGGACCAAGAUGAAGGCCAGGAGGCGGGGCAUGCGGCGUGACGCACGCGGAGCGGCAGGAGGACGGCAAUCGGAGUCAGGUGCGUAGGACACACAUCUGCUCACAAUCUGCGCAUCUGCUCCUAGACUUUAAGAGAGGCGAGGGGGGCACGAUUGCGAGAGGGAAGACAGGAAAGGAAAGGAAACCACGGCAGCCCGACCACGAGCCCGACGACAGAGAGCAGUCCGCAAUGAGUCCCUGCCACAGACGCAGCAGGCGAGCACCAAAGGGUGCAGAGCGACCAGGAAGAGGUGCCAGCGCACUAGAAAUGGGUGCGCCCGACUGGCCCGAAGAAAGGUUGAUUGAACCAAUAAAUGGGAAUCAAACCUGCUACGAUGCGUCGUGUGUUCAAUGUCACAGCAACCCACACGAGGACGGCUGGGAGUUUGUCACAUACGUUUUUCCUGCAGCAUUUGGAAAGUGACCCUGAAGAAAGAGUGCUCAGAGGCGUGUCUGUUGGCAUCCUUACAAUCCUUGAAGAAGAUGAUCCUGCUGUAUCACCCAACUUACGGGACUGGGCUGUUGUGUUGGAAGGUUCCAUGGUGCUACAUGACCUGCCAGACCUCGCUUGGCUCUCAGUGCGGCCCUGCGAUGAGGUGGCGACUUGUCCAGAGUGUACCCUGCCUGGCGCCCGAUUGUAGCUGAGAUAGGCGCCAGCGCCCCCCGUGACUCCAAAAGGGAAUAAGCGGUAGAAAAUGGAUGGAUGGAUGGGCUCUCAGCGGACAAGGUCUCUGAAAACAAAGCUUUUGCUGUGACUCUUAAUGUGGAAGCCAACCUAUGUUUUCUGCCUGUUCGAGUGCGUUGUGGUUGGUGCUCAUAUAAAACUUCACAGCCAGUGAUUUAAAACAUGCAAGGCCUCACGGAAAACAAUUAUAUUUAUUUUCAAAAUGUAUUUACAAUUAAGUGAGAUACACCAUUUUUAAAAAAAAUUUUUUUUUUCAAAAUAUAUUUAAAAUUGAGUGAGAUUCCCAAAACGCCAUUAUGCCACAUAACCCGCCAGAACUCGGUACUGCCAUUUGUUAUGUAGCAUAUUGGUAUUUUGUGAAUCUCACUUAAAUGUAGAUAUAUCUUUUUCUUUACAUUUAAGUGAAGUUGACAAGAGGUGCAUAUUCACUGUCAGCUGAUCAAGUUUGUCAACUCUUCUAAUUUACUAAACACAUUUUCUCUAUCUAUGAUGAUAAUUCUAUCAUCAAAUCAUUACACAAUUAUAUUGCCUGGCUGCUGUAAAAGCAUUUAUUUCUUAGCUUUUAACUUUCUUAGCUGGUUUAUUCACUUUAAAGAAAAUAGCUGGGAAAGUGUCAAGGUCUCUGACACCCAA